AAACAUCUUAGUACCCGGAGGAAGAAAAAGAAAAUUCGAUUCCCUUAGUAGCGGCGAGCGAAACGGGAAGAGCCCAAACCAACAAGCUUGCUUGUUGGGGUUGUAGGACACUCUAUACGGAGUUACAAAGGACGACAUUAGACGAAUCAUCUGGAAAGAUGAAUCAAAGAAGGUAAUAAUCCUGUAGUCGAAAAUGUUGUCUCUCUUGAGUGGAUCCUGAGUACGACGGAACACGUGAAAUUCCGUCGGAAUCUGGGAGGACCAUCUCCUAAGGCUAAAUACUCUCUAGUGACCGAUAGUGAACCAGUACCGUGAGGGAAAGGUGAAAAGCACCCCGGAAGGGGAGUGAAAUAGAACCUGAAACCGUGUGCUUACAAGUAGUCAGAGCCCGUUAAUGGGUGAUGGCGUGCCUUUUGUAGAAUGAACCGGCGAGUUACGAUUUGAUGCAAGGUUAAGCAGUAAAUGUGGAGCCGUAGCGAAAGCGAGUCUGAAUAGGGCGUUUAGUAUUUGGUCGUAGACCCGAAACCAGGUGAUCUACCCUUGGUCAGGUUGAAGUUCAGGUAACACUGAAUGGAGGACCGAACCGACUUACGUUGAAAAGUGAGCGGAUGAACUGAGGGUAGCGGAGAAAUUCCAAUCGAACCUGGAGAUAGCUGGUUCUCUCCGAAAUAGCUUUAGGGCUAGCCUCAAGUGAUGAUUAUUGGAGGUAGAGCACUGUUUGGACGAGGGGCCCCUCUCGGGUUACCGAAUUCAGACAAACUCCGAAUGCCAAUUAAUUUAACUUGGGAGUCAGAACAUGGGUGAUAAGGUCCGUGUUCGAAAGGGAAACAGCCCAGACCACCAGCUAAGGUCCCAAAAUAUAUGUUAAGUGGAAAAGGAUGUGGCGUUGCCCAGACAACUAGGAUGUUGGCUUAGAAGCAGCCAUCAUUUAAAGAGUGCGUAAUAGCUCACUAGUCGAGUGACACUGCGCCGAAAAUGUACCGGGGCUAAACAUAUUACCGAAGCUGUGGAUUGUCCUUUGGACAAUGGUAGGAGAGCGUUCUAAGGGCGUUGAAGCAUGAUCGUAAGGACAUGUGGAGCGCUUAGAAGUGAGAAUGCCGGUGUGAGUAGCGAAAGACGGGUGAGAAUCCCGUCCACCGAUUGACUAAGGUUUCCAGAGGAAGGCUCGUCCGCUCUGGGUUAGUCGGGUCCUAAGCUGAGGCCGACAGGCGUAGGCGAUGGAUAACAGGUUGAUAUUCCUGUACCACCUAUA
rnacentral:rRNA from 1 species